rnacentral:misc_RNA from 1 species
GAAAUGCGAUAAGUAGUGUGAAUUGCAGAAUUCAGUGAAUCAUCGAAUCUUUGAACGCACAUUGCGCCCCUCGGUAUUCCGUGGGGCAUGCCUGUUCGAGCGUCAUCUACACCCUCAAGCUCUGCUUGGUGUUGGGCGUCUGUCCCGCCUCCUUCGCGCGCGGACUCGCCCCAAAUCCAUUGGCGGCGGCCCUUGCCUCCCUCUCGCGCAGCACAUUGCGCUUCUCGAGGCGCGGCGGACCGCGUCCAGUAAGCAACCGUCACACCGUCUUUGACCUCGGAUCAGGUAGGGAUACCCGCUGAACUUAAGC